AACAGUGAUCCCAGACAGACUGUUUGCCCAAACAACGUCGGGCAAACAGCACCAGCAGGCAAAAACCAGCAGAAUCUGUCAAACUUGCUGACCAAGUCAACACGAAUCCCCACGCACUCCAAACACGUGGGACAGCUCAGAAACACCUAUUUACACCUCAGCACACUCUCCUACAUAUUCAGGAAGCCAAGAAAUAAAAAGACAAGAAUGCCCUCCAAGAAUUCAAGACUAAAUAGGAAAAAAAAG
rnacentral:lncRNA from 1 species